CCCUUAGAGUUUGAUCCUGGCUCAGAAUCAACGCUGGCGGCGUGCCUAACACAUGCAAGUCGAACGCGAAAGGGAGCAAUCCUGAGUAGAGUGGCGUCCGGGUGAGUAACACGUGGAUAAUCUACCUGCGGAUGAGGAAUAACUUUCCGAAAGGGAAGCUAAUACCGCAUAACAUUAUCUGGGGGUAUCCCCGAAUGAUCAAAGUGGGGGAUCGCAAGACCUCACGUCUGCAGAGGAGUCCGCGGCCGAUUAGCUAGUUGGUGAGGUAAUGGCUCACCAAGGCAACGAUCGGUAGCCGGCCUGAGAGGGCGGUCGGCCACACUGGCACUGAAACACGGGCCAGACUCCUACGGGAGGCAGCAGUGGGGAAUUUUGGGCAAUGGGAGAAAUCCUGACCCAGCAACGCCGCGUGAAGGAUGAAAUCCUUCGGGAUGUAAACUUCGUAAAUUAGGGAAGAAUAAACGCGUUUUAAUAGAACGUGAUAUGACGGUACCUGAUGUAAGCCCCGGCUAACUCCGUGCCAGCAGCCGGGUAAUACGGGGGGGGCAAGCGUUGUUCGGAAUUACUGGGCGUAAAGGGCGCGUAGGCGGUCAGACCAAGUUGAAUGUGAAAUUCCAGAGCUUACUCUGGACGGUCGUUCGAUACUGGUCGGCUAAGUGUGGAAGAGGAUGUCGGAAUUCCCGGGUGUAGCGGUGAAAUGCGUAGAUAUCGGGAGG
rnacentral:rRNA from 1 species